UACAUGGGGUGCAAACGUUGCUCGGAUUCAUUGGGCGUAAAGGGUGCGUAGGCGGCGCGGUAAGUCGGGUGUGAAAUCUCGGAGCUUAACUCCGAAACUGCAUUCGAUACUGCCGUGCUUGAGGACUGGAGAGGAGACUGGAAUUUACGGUGUAGCGGUGAAAUGCGUAGAUAUCGUAAGGAAGACCAGUGGCGAAGGCGGGUCUCUGGACAGUUCCUGACGCUGAGGCACGAAGGUCAGGGGAGCAAACGGG
rnacentral:rRNA from 1 species